rnacentral:rRNA from 1 species
CUUCCGUACACUCAGGGAUAGCCUUUCGAAAGAAAGAUUAAUACCUGAUGGUAUGAUGAGAUUGCAUGAUAGCAUCAUUAAAGAUUUAUCGGUGUACGAUGGGGAUGCGUUCCAUUAGGUAGUAGGCGGGGUAACGGCCCACCUAGCCAACGAUGGAUAGGGGUUCUGAGAGGAAGGUCCCCCACAUUGGAACUGAGACACGGUCCAAACUCCUACGGGAGGCAGCAGUGAGGAAUAUUGGUCAAUGGACGAGAGUCUGAACCAGCCAAGUAGCGUGAAGGAUGAAGGUCCUACGGAUUGUAAACUUCUUUUAUAAGGGAAUAAACCCUCCCACGUGUGGGAGCUUGUAUGUACCUUAUGAAUAAGCAUCGGCUAACUCCGUGCCAGCAGCCGCGGUAAUACGGAGGAUGCGAGCGUUAUCCGGAUUUAUUGGGUUUAAAGGGAGCGCAGACGGGUCGUUAAGUCAGCUGUGAAAGUUUGGGGCUCAACCUUAAAAUUGCAGUUGAUACUGGCGUCCUUGAGUGCGGUUGAGGUGUGCGGAAUUCGUGGUGUAGCGGUGAAAUGCUUAGAUAUCACGAAGAACUCCGAUUGCGAAGGCAGCACACUAAUCCGUAACUGACGUUC